rnacentral:misc_RNA from 1 species
GAUGAAGAACGUAGCGAAAUGCGAUAAGUAGUGUGAAUUGCAGAAUUCAGUGAAUCAUCGAAUCUUUGAACGCACAUUGCGCCCCUUGGUAUUCCAUGGGGCAUGCCUGUUCGAGCGUCAUUUGUACCUUCAAGCUCUGCUUGGUGUUGGGUGUUUGUCUCGCCUCUGCGUGUAGACUCGCCUCAAAACAAUUGGCAGCCGGCGUAUUGAUUUCGGAGCGCAGUACAUCUCGCGCUUUGCACUCAUAACGACGACGUCCAAAAGUACAUUUUUACACUCUUGACCUCGGAUCAGGUAGGGAUACCCGCUGAACUUAAGCAUAUCAAUAAGCGGGGA